rnacentral:lncRNA from 1 species
GCAAUUAGAUUUUAUAUGAUUCGUAGACCUAAUUCAAGAUUUGGGAUUUUCUCAAAAUAUCUGAAUUUGGGAUAAUUUUGUUUAUUAUCUGGAUUUCUGUACUAAAUUCUUAUUCUUAUAUUCUAACCACCAUGAUAACACAUAAAUAUAUUGUAUAUAUGUCACUUUAUCCAAAUACUUUUAAUGCAUUUGUCUAAACAUGACAAAGUCAGCAGUCUGCAGUAUUUUCGUAUGCGUUUAAUCCGGUAAAUCGAACUAAUACAAUGUUAACCUAAUUAACAAAUCAAUUCAGAAAACUAAAUAUAUUUGAUUAUGUUUUAAAUAGAAUCAUGUUUUUUCAUUGGGAAUCAAGAUAAAAGUUUUACAAUAUAUAUAUAUAUAUAUUUAAAUUCAUAAAUCAGAAAUCUUAAAAGACAAAAUCUAAGAGGGAACCUAAAUUCUGAUUAAACAACACC